rnacentral:rRNA from 1 species
GAUGAACGCUGGCGGCGUGCCUAAUACAUGCAAGUCGAGCGAACAGAUGAGGAGCUUGCUCCUCUGACGUUAGCGGCGGACGGGUGAGUAACACGUGGAUAACCUACCUAUAAGACUGGGAUAACUUCGGGAAACCGUAGCUAAUACCGGAUAAUAUUUUGAACCGCAUGGUUCAAUAGUGAAAGACGGUUUUGCUGUCACUUAUAGAUGGAUCCGCGCCGCAUUAGCUAGUUGGUAAGGUAACGGCUUACCAAGGCAACGAUGCAUAGCCGACCUGAGAGGGUGAUCGGCCACACUGGAACUGAGACACGGUCCAGACUCCUACGGGAGGCAGCAGUAGGGAAUCUUCCGCAAUGGGCGAAAGCCUGACGGAGCAACGCCGCGUGAGUGAUGAAGGUCUUCGGAUCGUAAAACUCUGUUAUUAGGGAAGAACAAAUGUGUAAGUAACUAUGCACGUCUUGACGGUACCUAAUCAGAAAGCCACGGCUAACUACGUG